rnacentral:lncRNA from 1 species
ACACACACACACACCCCUCUCCAUCUAGAAUAAUUACAAACGCCAUUAAUCAGUUCCAACACUUACUUCCUUCCUCCGUUCGAUGGGAUAGCUCUAACUCCUAAAUUUAACUCCAAGAGUUAAGUCUGAAGUAGAGUUGUGGAGCUUCACAACUCUAGUUUAUUUUGUGAGAGAGCUCCACCCAGCUCCACUUCCAGUUUUGGUGGAGCUAAAACUGUUUGGCUGAGCUCCAGCUCCAGGAGGGGUGGAGCUGGAGCUGGAGCUGGAGCUGUGCCAAACAGGCUCUAUAUUAAGUUCAUUUUUAACUCAUUUCAUCUGUCCCAAAAAUAAAUUCAGUUUUACCGUAAUAGUUGCAACAGAGUUUGUGAAAGUAGAGAAUAAUAAUAUUGCGAGUAGAUAGAGUGAGAAUUGUUACAUUGGGAUUUGAUAAAAUAGGAAUAUUCUAGCCUUUUUACUUUUGUGUUUGUAUAUGUGAGAUGAGUGAAAAAUAUCCAUCUCCAUUCUUUACUAAUAUAGUAUUAUUUUUCCAUAUUUAAUAAAAAAUAAGUGAAAUGUCUAUUUUACUAUUUCACCGGAACGGUUAACCACCUAAACCAUUUUUCAGUUUAUUUUAUACCGUAAACUAUUUAAAACGGUUGCAUUAACUCUCCAACGGUAUUUUCUUUCUCUAUAUAUAAAAGCCAUAUUUUGCACUGGAAUUAUGUUAGGCUGAUAGAUGCAUUACAACUUAUUACGUCUUAACAUUUUUUAUAAUUUUUGUCACUGUUUCCAUGAGUUCGAAGCACCUAAGAGUCUAAGACUAAUUUUAAAUAUCAAGCAAAUGGUCAUGAAAAAUAAUUUUGAUUAUGGUGUAAUCCAUAUCUAAAAAUUUGUUGCUUAAAAUACAACUCGUAUAAAGAAGGGAAAAACAGAAAUAUUUCAAGCAAAUGAUCAUGAAAAAUAAUUUUGAUUAUGGUGUAAUCCAUAUCUAAAAAUUUUCUGCUUAAAAUACAACUUGUAUAAAGAAGGAAAAAAGAGAAAUAUUUCAAGCAAAUGAUCAUGAAAAAUAAUUUUGAUAGUGGUAUGUAAUCCAUAGCUCCAAAUAUUUGAGUCUUAAAAGACAACUUCAAUAAAGAGAGGGAAAAGAGAAAUAUUAUUACGGAGUAAAGUGAACCAUUUUCGAUCGAUUAGAGAUAAAAUAAAGGUGGGAUAAUUAAGGAGAGGAAAAAAAUUAGAGCAACAAAUAGAAAUAAAUUGUCCAUCCUUACUUAUCUUUUUGGGUAAACUAGUCAUGUGAUGCAACCCAAUAUGGUAACAAAAUCGAAAAAUUUUUACUUCAAAAAUCCCAAAAUUACAUUAUCAAAAUCUAUUAUAUUUAUGACGGAUGUAUAGUAAUAGUAAAUUUUUAGGUGAGAACUAACAAGCAAGUAUUUGUGAUCCGAGGAGUAUUUAUUUGUAGUUGGCCCGGCACAAGCAUGCUAGCACCCUGCUCCUGCCAUCCCGACCACAUUCAUAUCGCAUCCAUUUAUAUUGCCAGUUGCUACCUCCAUCAGAAAAUUGGGUGUACGGUAGACAUAAAUGAUGUCAUGAUCGAACACGAACUUAUUUUUUUUAUAAAAUAGAGUAAUUCUUAAUUAUUGCUUGAAAUUAUAUGGGGAAUGGGGAUUCAUUUUUCACUAGUCCCAAACUAACACACCAUGAACAUUAUCCAACUGUAUGUACAAAUACAGGCAUACAGCCAUUUGGCUUGGCCUUAGGCAAGUGACAACAAUAUUCAAAUGGAAAACACUAAUCUUUCUGAAUUUCCAUGACGUAAUUUGAACAGGGUACAGAGUACAGACAUGACAUACCUUUUCUCUGGAAUCAUCUAUACCUGUACUUGAGACUGGUACAAUACAGUAGUCCAAAAACAUCAUCUGCAUACUUGCCUUAUUCGGAUGUAUUAACAAGUGGAGCACCUAAUUAACUAUAUUUCUGAACAGGUUACAGAUAGGAGUAUAUAGAUACAGGAGACAGGAGCACAUCACUCCAAAUUACAGGUGUCAAUGGAGACGAAAAGAAUACAUUAUUUUACUGCAAUUUUAGUUGAAAACCUAUAUAUGCCUUGCAUACUAUCCAAUCAGAUCAGAUUAUUUAAUAGUAAUAAUAAUGAUAAUCUUCUAAAUGAUGGUGAGUGGUAUCAUCUCAUCAUCAGCUUUGCUCAUGCAUGCAUGGCUUCCCAAAUGAGACAACACCUGCAUCCCAUUCAAGUUCAGCUCCCAGAUCAACCUCGACUGCAAUCAUUGCAGAGCUACCAACCAAACCACCCCAAAAUACAAGAUCAUAUAUCCAAAUGUAAUAUAAAUCCAGCCAAAUUGGAUUUGCACAUAUACACACACAAACACCUCCUGUUCCAAUUUCAUACUACUAACAUGCAUCUUCAGCUUAAAAAUCAAAUCUAUUUUUUCUCUCUUCGUCAGACAGUCAGACGAGAUGAGCUUGCAAUGCUCCUUGCUUGGAACAAAGCCGUUGUUUAGUUCCCAACUUUUUCUUCAAACUUUCAACUUUUUCAUCACAUCAAAACUUUUCUACACACAUAAACUUUCAACUUUUUUCUUCAAACUUUCAAUUUUAGCGUGAAACUAAUUAAACACACCCAAACAAUGGACUAUAAUAUAAUUGCAGAGUAAUCAAUCGAUCAAGAGGAUGCAGAUUUCAGUCACUUCACUUGCAUGGUUGCAUUGCAUCUCUCUCUCUCUCUCCCUGUUUCUGCCUGGAGAUCGAGACUCGAGAGGCUCUGUACUUUGCCUGCCCGGGCUGCACAUGCCUGCAUGCUCUUCAACCCGGUCAGUUAAUUUUAGAGGCACAUACAGUUUGCACGCAUGCGGGCAAGGCAGCCACGUACGCCUCGCAGGCUAAUUUACGUUGCUGCCUGGGUUUGCGUCUCUGAUCGAUGCAGCCUAGCACCUCUUCGUGUUCCAGGAUUCAGAGUAAAGUGAUUCACCUGUCACCUGUUCACCUAGCUGUUCUUUCUUUCUUUCUUUCUUUCUUCUUCAGUUCUUCUCCCUCUUGUCUUUUUACUGCAGUGAAAAAACAAAAGACUCUACAUGAAUGGAGUGAAAAAAGGACAUGUUCUUUUCUAAAGCAACAAAAGACUCUACAUGAAUGGAUUCGGAUUUUCAUUUGCUCUAUUUUAAUUUUUUUUGGAAUCUAUUAUAUUAUUAAAACAACUUUGAAAGGAGACACCACGUUCGCUAUGGGGGCUAGAAAUUCUCACAUUAAUCAGAGAAAAAACAAAAAAUAUUAAACCGUUAGAUCACAAACUGACUAGAUUUUAACGGUGUAGAUUAAUUUGAAGAAUAUGAAUAUGAAUAGAAACUACUGCUCUAAGCUUAACUUAUUCAGUCCUAAUAGGAAACUGAGAAGUAAUUACAAUAUUUUCAUUGAUGAGGAAUCGGACAUGCACGUUGCAUGCAUAUAUUAUGUGUUGGAGCCGAAUAGAUAAUUAGAAUACAAAACUAAUUACAGAAUUCCCCGUCCAUCUAUGACUGAAUAAAAUAUGAUAAAUAUAUUAAGCAAUGCAAAGUGAUUGGCAAAAAUAUAUUGACAUGUUCUUAAGAUUCAAACGGAGUAAGCAAUAUUGAAAGAUGAGUCCAUAUAAGAACCCAACACGAGAUUAAUCAAAAUCGAAAUAAAAAUAAAAUAAAAACCAAAAUUAGAAAAAAUGAAGAGCCCAAGUAGGAAUAUAAUUUAAAAAUAACUAAAAUUUGGAAUUACAAAUAAGGAAUAUUAAAAGAAAAAUCCAUACAAGAAUCCACUACGAGAUUAAUUAAAAUUCAGAAUAAAAAAUAAAAAAAUCAAAUUAUAAAAAAGAAUAGAAGAGUUCAAAGUAGGAAUACAAUUUAAAAUUAACUGAAAUUCGGAAUUAAAUAUAAGCAAUAUCGAAAUAAGAGUAUUUAUAAGAACCCAAUAGUAGAUUAAUUAAAAUUUAGAAUAAAGAAUAAAAUAAAAAUCCGAAAUUAGGCAAAUUAAAAAGAGAGUUAAAGUAGGAAUACAAUUUUGAAACAACUGAAAUUGAAAAUAAAAAAUAAAAAAUAUCAGAAGAACACAAUACGAAAAAUAAAAUAAAUUCUGAAAUUAGAAAAAGAAAAAUAAGAUUUCAACAAGAAAUACAAUUUAUAAAUAACUAAUAUUGGUGAUAAAGAAAAUAAAACUAUUGAAAAAAAAGACAAUCUAAAACACAUGACGAGAUUAAUUAAGUAACAUGCCGAUAGAGGAGCAGAGUGGUGGCGGUUGAUGAGACUUCUAAAAACUAUUAAUAAAACACCAAAUAGAAUCCUAAUGACGAUUAAAAGGAAGGAUGACAAAUAGAUCGUGAACCAAUCGGUCAAGGCGGUUGGCAGGAACUUCUAGAAAGUAAAAAAAAUAAACCCUAAUGAUAAUCAUAUUUGAUUUUUGAAAUCUCAAUUACAAUAAAAAUGAGAGGCAGCAAGCGGGUCGUAUAGGAGUACAAUAACAGAGCCGCCAAUUGUUGGUGGGUCUUCUAGAAAUUGAAAAAUAAAUUUCAAUAAAAGUUAUGUUCGAUUUUUACAAUCCCAAUGACACUAAAGAGUACGCGGCGGACGGGUCGUAAAGGACGGCAGCGUUUGACGGGAUUUCUAAAAAUUAUAAAAAACAUGAACCCAAUGCGACAAUAAACUCUAAAAACUAUAAGGUCAAAUUUUUAAUGGUUCGGGCUUCUAAAAAGUAAAAAAAUAAACCCUAAUGAUAAUCAUAUUUGAUUUUAAAAUCUCAAUGACAAUAAAGAAGAGCGGCAACAGGGAGUCAUAGAGGAGUACAGUGACAAAGUCGCUAACGUUUUGGCGAAACUUCUAUAAGGUAGAAAAAUGAACCUAAACGAUAAUUAUGUUCGAUUUUUAAAAUAGCAAUGACAAUAAAGAGAAGAUGCAGUGGACGGUCGUAGAGGAGUAUAAUGACAACGUUUGACAGGCUUUCUGGAAAUUAUACAAAAGAAGCCCAACAGGACAAUAAACUCUAAAAACUAUAAGUCUUAACAUCCAAUUUUUAAAAAGACUUCCAAUUUUUAAAGGUUUCUAAGAAUGAAUAGAAACGGUGAUAGAUCGAGCAAGCUAACAAAGAAUAAUAUGACAGAAGUAAGGGGUAGCCACUGGUGUGACUUUUAAAAACUAUAAAAUUAGAAACACGAGAAUGAUAAGACGAGGAUGAUAAGGUUUGGUCUUUCAAAAUCUUAAGACAACGAGAUAACUAUUUAAUAAUUUUUAAGUAAAAUCAUAUUAAAAAAUAUAUAAUUUUAUAUGGGUGCUAGCCGCGCAAUUGCGCGGGCCACCCAGCAAGUUUCUUUCUAAAGCAACAAUUUUAAUUACCUUUGCAGUAGUUAAUUCAGUCGUCCAUAGCCUCAAAUAGCUAUUAGAAAAAGAAAUCGGAUUAUCCAUAAUCUUUGAAUUUUUCCGCUAUCUCAAGUCGGCUACUUCAGUAUUUUUCUCUUAAUUGGCGCCAGAAACUCCUACAUGGAUCGAUUGCUUGAGCUUGUCUCGGAUUUGUUUUGCAAAUAACGCACAGUGAAAAGGACAAAGGUAUAAGUUGAUGAUUUUGUUAACCGUAAUAAGAGAAGUUGAUUAGUUCGUCAGGAUCAAAAUUGAUGGGACAUGGAGUAGUACUAAUCGCUUGACAUUGUCUCGGAUUUUAAUCAGGCCGAUCGAUCGAUGUGUCCUGCAACUGCAGGCCUGCAUGUCUACCUCUCCACGAGUUUAUAAUUUGGAUGGAUUUCGUUCGGAGUGAGCCAAAUCCGCAAUGAUAAUUAAAAGAAUCAAUCAUCAAACACGAUGCAUGGAUACUGUUCCACGUACGUAAACUUAGGCUGGCUUAGCUGCCGGGGUUUUCUUGCCCAAACUUCCAUUUCUGAUCCUGUCUGUCUCCAGCAGCAUCAGAGAAUUGAAUCAUCACAUAGAAAAGAAAUUAGAUAAAAUCAUGCUUUGAAAUGGAACCACUUAUUUAUUUCUAAAUUAUCGUUUAACCACUAGUGGAGAAAGUGUUUUUCCUCCCAGUUGGUAACCCCCCUAUACUCCCGGUUUUGCAACCGGGAGUAGCAAUCCGGGACUAAAGAUACUCAUCUUUAGUCCCGGGUGAAAUAACCGGGACUAAAAAUCUAUCUUUACUCCCGGUUGGUGAUAACAACCGGGAUUAAAGAUAGUGAUGCCAGCGCUAGUACCGGCCACUGUUUUUUUUAUUAUUUUCUUCCAAAUCGAGUUGGAACUGCACAAAUCUCUUCCAAAUCAACCAAAUCAAGUUGCUCCCUGUAUCCCCAAAUCAAAAUCAAAGUAUCAUCACAAACAUAGAUUCACAUCACAAAUUCUCAAGAAACAAUACAUCAAGAAAUACAUCACAGAUUAUACAUCACAUAUCCAAUGAAUCACAACUUCUAAAAAUUCUCAGAUCCAUCACAAAUUCUUAAGAAAAAAAAAUUGAGUUGCCGCCGGCCGGCUGCCGCGCGCCACGCCGCUGCCCUCCCAUCCGCGCGGCCCGCCGGCUCCAGCCGCCCUCCCAUUCGCCGCCGCCCAUCCUCCCUCCGCGCGGCCCGGCGCGCCAGCCGCCGCCGCCGCCCGGACUCAGCCACCGGCUGCCCGCCAGCGCGGCUACGCCGCCGCCCUCCCAUCCACGCAGCCCGCCAGCUCCAGCCGCCCUCCCAUCCGCCGCCGCCUGCCCGCCCUCCGCGCGGCCCGGCGCGCCAGCCGCCGCCGCCGCUCGGACUUGGCCGCCGCCCGCCCGCCCUCCGCGCGGCCCGGCGCGCCAACCGCCGCCGCCGCUCGGACUCGGCCGCCGCCCGCCCGCCCGCCCUCCGCGCGGCCGGCCACGCCAGCCGCCGCCGCUCGGACUUGGUCACCUAGAGAGGAUGAGGCGGGGAGGGGGAGGAGAGGUGAAGGGGGAGGAAGAAGGGGAUAGGAGAGGGGAGACUUCUGAGACGAUGGAGAUAUCUAGGCUGGCUGUUAAUUUAAUGCAAAGAGGGGGAGAGGAAGGGGCAGGGGGAUAAGAUUGAUGACGACGACUGUGGACUGACAGGCGCGCGGCUUGGGGUAAAGUUUAGUCCCGGUUGGUAUAAACAACCGGGACUAAAAAUCUAUUUUUAGUCCCGGUUGUUUAUACCAACCGGGACUAAAGAUAAUUGGGGCCCUGACUCGUCCGGACAAUUUUUUGAACCGGGACUAAAAAUGAUCUUUAGUCCUGGUUGGUGUUACCAACCGGGACUACAGAUCAAAAAGUUUUUAACCGGGACUAAAAAUGAUCUUUAGUCCCGGUUUAAAUAGGAACCGGGACUAUUGUGGAUUUUAGACGACCGACCAAAGAUGGUUUCUCUAGUAGUGAACGUACAGGUGUAGCCGUCACUGGUGGAGAAACCAUCUUUCGUCGGUCGGCCGAAUUCCACAAUAGUCCCGGAUGCAAUAAAAACCGGGGCUAAAGAUGAUCUUUAGUCCCGGUUAAAAAGGGUAACGGGCAUAUUUGAUCUUUAGUCCCGGUUGGUAACAACAACCGGGACUAAAGUCUUUAGUCCCGGUUCAAAUGCUGUCAGGGCCUGUCAGGCCCCCCGGGAUCUUUAGUCCCGGUUGGUACCCCUAUAUAUAUGUCUUCUUCCUCCUCCAGCUGCCCGAGCAAGCUUCAAAAUUUCUUCAAAAAAGAGGGGAGGUCAUGCUAAAAUUUGUAGUGAAUUUAUUUUGGUGAUUACAUACAAAUCGGAGGUGCCUAAAAGGUUUGCAACUUCAUCCUCCAAUGUUUUUUUGUCAUAUUACAUUUGCAGCUAUGUUUUGCACACUUUUUUGUCUCCAAAAUUUAGUUGUAAGUUGAUGAGGGAGAAAACUUGUGUGGGGAAGAAAGAAUAUAUAGAAAUUUAGUUGAUUUGCUAAAGAAGGUUUUAUAAAAUAGUUGAGAAGGAAAAUUACAGUGAGAGUUAAUCUUGAAUACUAGAAAACAAACUAAAAUGAAAAUUAAAAGAAGUAAAACACAUUAAAAUUAGUUUAAAACUUUAGAAAUAGUAAAUAAGAAUUAUUUGGUGUAGUAUUUUAUGAUUUUUGUAUGAAUAAAGAUAUGUCAUUAUUGUAUGACUGUUGAAACAGUUUGUAAUUAUCUUAUAAUUAUUGUAUGACUGUCAUUAUUGUAAGAAUAAUUAUUUUUGUACGAUUUUUUCUCGACUCAUGUAGAUGGAUCGGCAAUGGAUGUACGCUGACCGGUGGUCCAAAGAGUUUAUUGACGGCGUGCACUAUUUUUUGAGAGUGGCCGAAGCUAACAGACAAAGGGGUUUUAUUUGUUGUCCAUGCAAUAAGUGUAAGAAUCAGAAGGAGUAUUCUGCAUCCAGGACUAUUCAUUUCUACUUGUUUGAGUCGGGGUUCAUGCCAAGCUAUAUUUGUUGGACAUCCCACGGAAAGCAAGGUGUUGAAAUGGAAGAAGAUGAAGUGGAAGACGACAAUAUUCCGGAUUUUGCUCAGUACGUUGGAUUUGAAGGAAAUCAAACGGGCGAGGAGGAAAGGGAUGCUGAUGGUAACGACGUUGCGGAUGAUCUUGGUCAAAUGUUGCAGGACGCCAAGGAGGACUGCGAAAGUGAAAAGGGAGCCCAUAAAUAGGACAAGAUGUUAGAGGACCACAGAACUUCGUUGUACCCAGGUUACAAGCAGGGACACAAAAAGUUGGAUACCACUCUGGAGUUCUUGCAAUGGAAGGCAAAAAAUGGGGUUAGUGACAAGGCAUUUGGCGAUUUAUUGAAACUCGUCAAGAACAUUCUUCCGGAGGGAAACAAAUUGCCCGAGACAACGUACAAGGCUAAGAAGAUAGUCUGCCCGCUAGGACUGGAAGUUCAGAAGAUUCACGCAUGUCUGAAUGAUUGUAUCCUAUAUCGCGGUGAGGAGUAUGAGAACCUAGAAGCAUGCCCUGUUUGCAAAGUACUACGAUACAAGAUUAGACGAGACGAUCCAAGAGAAGUUGACGGGCAGCUAACAAAGAAGAGAAUUCCUGCUAAGAUGAUGUGGUAUUUCCCUAUAAUACCACGGAUAAGGCGUCUGUUCAGGAACAAGGGGAAUGCUAGGAUGAUGCAAUGGCACGCUGAAGAGCGUCAACAGGACGGGAUGCUGAGACACCCCGCCGAUGGUUCGCAGUGGCGAAACAUAGACAGAAAAUUUAAAGAAUUUGGAAAGGACGCACGAAACAUACGGUUUGGUUUGAGUACGAAUGGCAUGAAUUCUUUUGGAGAGAUGAGCAGCGGCCAUAGCACUUGGCCCGUUACGAUGUGUAUCUACAACCUCCCCCCCUAGCUAUGCAUGAAGAGGAAGUACAUAAUGAUGCCGAUUAUUAUUCAAGGCCCCAAGCAACCUGGUAACGACAUCGAUGUGUACCUAAGACCACUGGUCAAAGAUCUUAAGCUGUUGUGGAAGAAGGAAGGUGUCCCCGUAUGGGACGAGGACAAACAGGAGGAGUUUAACAUACGAGCGCUGCUGUUCGUAACCAUCAACGAUUGGCCUGCACUUAGCAACCUAUCCGGACAGUCCAACAAGGGGUACAAGGCUUGCACUCACUGUAUGGAUGAAACAGAAAGUACGUAUCUUAUGCACUGUAGGAAGGUUGUAUACAUGGGUCAUCGUCGAUUCCUUGCAGCAAACCACCCGGUACGGAAGAAAGGCAAGCACUUCGAACAUAAGGCUGACCACCGUACGAAGUCUAAACAUCGCAACGGGAAAACAGUGUUUGCUAUGGUUAAAGAUCUAAAAGUAGUGUUCGGAAAGGGGCCUGGAAGCCAGCCUAUAGAGAGCGAAGAUGGUCACGCGGCGAUGUGGAAAAAGAACUCUAUAUUUUGGGAGUUACCCUAUUGGGAAUUCUUGGACGUACGCCACGCAAUCGACGUGAUGCACCUCACUAAGAACCUUUGCGUAAACCUUCUUGGCUUCCUAGGUGUAUACGGAAAGUCGAAAGAUACACUGUAAGCAUGUAAUGAUCUGAAGCAUAUGGAACAACGCGGCGACCUUCACCCGGAACCAAAGGAGAAAGGAAGCCAUUACUUGAGUCCAGCCAGCUACACUCUUAGCAAGGCAGAGAAGGAAAGUAUGUUUGAAUGCUUGGAGAGCAUAAAGGUACCGUCUGGAUACUCCACGAAUAUCAAGCGAAUAAUAAGCACGAAGGAGAAGAAGUUCACAAACCUAAAGUCUCAUGACUGUCACGUGUUGAUGACACAACUGCUACCAGUUGUAAUAAGGGGUAUCCUUCCAGACAAUGUCCGGGCAACAAUAACAAAGCUAUGUGCAUUCAUGAACGCAAUUUCGCAGAAGGUCAUCGAUCCGGAUAGAUUAGAAGCCCUUCAGAAUGAUGUGGUGCAAUGUCUCGUCAGUUUUGAGUUGAUAUUUCCACCUUCAUUUUUCAAUAUAAUGACGCAUCUGCUUUGUCACCUUGUGAAAGAGAUCAGUAUUCUCGGGCCUGUGUACCUACACAACAUGUUUCCUUUCGAGAGGUACAUAGGCGUUCUGAAGAAGUAUGUUCGUAACCGUGCUCGUCCAGAGGCAAGCAUCGCCAAGGGUUAUGGAACAGAGGAGGUCAUCGAAUUUUGCGUAGAAUUUAUUGAAGACCUUCGCCCAAUCGGGGUACCUGAAUCAUGCCAUGAAGGGAGACUACGGGGAAAGGGAACUCUCGGAAGGAAAGCAAUAAUGACGGUAGACAACAAUUUAUUCCAUAAAGCCCAUUUCACGGUUCUGCAACAAUCUUCAUUGGUAGCUCCUUACAUCGAGGAGCACUUGGCUCUAGUUCGCGCCAGGAACAUCGGUAAGUCCGAUGCAUGGAUUACACGGCAUCACAUUGAUACUUUCCCCGCGUGGCUACGACAACAUCUCAUGGGUAACGAGUCGAUCAACCAACAACUUGCCUUCCUGGCGAGGGGACCGUCUGGGUCGAUCGCGACAUUCCAGGGAUAUGAGAUCAAUGGGUACACAUUCUACACGAGAGCCCAAGACAUGAAGAGCACGAACCAAAACAACGUUGUUUGUGUCGAUGCCAUGGGACACGAUGGAACAACUGGCACGUAUUACGGUGCCAUCGAGGCCAUAUGGGAACUUGACUGUGGUCCUCUCAAGGUCCCUCUGUUCCGGUGCCAAUGGGUUAGGUUGACUGGUGGAGGCGUAAUGAUUGAUGACAGUGGGAUGACAACGGUUGACCUUAACAAGGUUGGAUACUCGGACGAACCUUUUGUCCUUGCCAAUGAUGUAACGCAAGUCUUUUACGUGAAGGACAUGUCUAGCAAAGGAAAGAAGGGCAGAGGGCCAGACGAGCCUAAGCGUCACGUGGUUCUCCCAAGCAAAAGAAAAAUCGUCGGAGUUGAGGACAAGACUGACGAGGAUUACGAUCAGUUGGAUGGGCAACCCCCUUUCACGGUGACGAUUGACCCUAGCAUCCUCCUAUCAAAUAAAGACACCCCUUACUCACGUAGCGAUCACAAGGAGGGAACAAUAGUGAGGAGAAAGUACGUGCGGUCAACCAUCCCCGCUGAUGUAUUGCCGUAAUUAUUGUGUACACGAUGUAAACUAUUUUGGAUGUAUUGAUUAUCCAUAUAAAUCAAUUGAUGUAUGGCAUAUGUUAAUUACGCACGAUUAUUUGAGGUUUUAACAAGUUUAAAUCAUGUAUAUGCUAGUUAUAUGCGAUAAUUACAAUUUUUAAAAUUUUUAAAUCAUGCAUGUGGCAUUUACAUAUGUUAAUUAGAGUUUUUAACAAUUAGUUCAAUAUCAUUCAUAUGCUAAUUAUAUAUGACUAUUCGAAUUUUUAAAAUUUUCAAAUCAUGCAUGUGGCAUUCACAUAUGUUAAUUAGAGUUCUUAACAAUUAAUUUAAUAUCCUAAUUAUAUAUGAUUAUUAAAUUUUUUAUUAAUUUUAAAUCAUGUCGUAUGUAUAUACAUAUGUUAAUUAGAGUUUUUAACAAUUUAAUAUCAUUCAUAUGCUAAGUAUAUAUGAUUAUUAGAAUUUUUAUUAAUUUUAAAACGUAAUAUUUGCUUAUUACGUUUUAUCCACUUAAUUUAUUACAGACAGUACUAAUUUUCCGUAGUAAUUGUCAUUAAUUUUUGUACUUUAAAUAAAUUUAAUGCAUUAUUUUCUAUUUUAGAAACACAUAUGUAAUGGAAAAUAAUACUCAGUGCACUUAUCAGUAGCCCCGGUUCUUGACCCUAACCGGGUUUUAAAAAAUUUUGGAAAUAGCGGGAAAAGAUCUUUAUUCCCGGUUGAUGAGAACAACCGGGAGUAAAGAUAACUUUCCUCCCGAUUGGUGAGAAAAACCGGGAGUAAAUUUACUCCCGGUUGUUCUCAUCAAUCGGGAAUAAAGAUCUAGGGGUAUAUAUAUUCCCGAUGCGCGCCCUCGUCUUCUCCACCAACACUUAGAAGUUUUUGCCCGAUCGAUCUCUCUCGGCUUCUCCUUCGCCGCCACUGCCUAGGGCAUCCCCGCGCCAACGCCGCCGCCGUAUCUCGCCGUCGUCUCGCGCUCGUCGUCGUCGCUGCCGCCUCCGCCUCCUCCUCCGCCGCCGCAUCUCUGGGGUGAGAGCCGACGCCGCCUCCCUCUCAUCAGCUCUCUCUCUCUCCGAUCUCGAUCUCUCUCUCUCUCCCUCUCGGUUGCCGCCGGCCGCCUCGACGCCGACGCCAACGUCGUCACGACAUGACGCGGCGGCACGACACGACGAGACGCCACGACGCCGCCGCGGCACGGCACUGGCGCCGCGCCGCGCCAAGCCGCCACGCCGCCGCUGCGCAACGCCGGCGCCGUGCCGCGCGUUCGCCGCCGCCGCCGCGCAACGUCGCCACCGGGCCGCGCGCCACACCGCCGUCCAGCUGCCGCCACGGCAUCGAACGAAUUAACGUGAACUAACGUGAACGAGCGAACGAAUGUGAACGAGAACGAGCGAACGAACGUGAACGAAGGAGUGUGAAUGAACGUCAACGAACAUGAACGUGAACUAACGAAUGUGAACGUGAAUGAACGUGAACGUGAAAUGCAAUAUAGGCAGGUGAAUGAACGUGAACGAAUGAACGUACGUGAAUGAAACGUGACCUUAACGAGAACGCGAACGUGAACGAUCGUGAACGAAACGUGAACAUCAAAUUCAAUAUAUGUUACUUCGCGUUUAUCCUAAUACAUCUUUUUGUAUCUUGCAAAAAAGACGUUGUCGGAGUCGUCCCUCAAGCCAGAGUGGUAGCUAUCCCUCGAAGGAAUUCGUGCAGGCUAGUGACGUAAUUAUAUAUAUGAUUGUUAUAUUUGUAAUGCAAUUAAGACUAUUAGAUUUAAUAUACGACACUUAGACUUAGUUUUAAUAUAAGAUUAUUAUAGUUUGUAAUUAGACUUUAGUAUAUAAUUUAUUGACUAGCUAGGGUCCUAUAAUAUACGUCACCUAAACUUAGCAUAUAUCACUAUUUGAGUUUUAGUAUAAGAUUAUUAGAUUUGUAAUUAGACUUAGCAUAUAAGAUUGUGUAGGGUUCUAAUAUACGACAGUUACACUUAGCAUACAUGACUAUUUGAGUUUUAGUAUAAGAUUAUUUACGUUUUAAUAUAAGAUUAUUAUAGUUUGUAAUUAGACUUUAGUAUAUAAUUUAUUGACUAGCUAGGGUCCUAUAAUAUACGUCACCUAGACUUAGCAUAUAUCACUAUGUGAGUUUUAGUAUAAGAUUAUUAGAUUUGUAAAUAGACUUAGCAUAUAAGGUUGUGUAGGGUUCUAAUAUACGACAGUUACACUUAGCAUAUAUGACUAUUUGAGUUUUAGUAUAAGAUUAUUUGAGUUUUAAUAUAAGAUUAUUAUAUUUGUAAUUAGACUUAAUAUAUAACUAUUGACUAGCUAGGGUCCUAUAAUAUACGUCACCUAGACUUAACAUUUAUCACUAUUUGAGUUUUAGUAUAAGAUUAUUUAAGUUUUAAUAUAAGAUUAUUAGAUUUGUAAUUAGACUUACUAUAUAAUUUAUUGACUAGCUAGGGUCCUGUAAUAUACGUCACCUAGACUUAGCAUUUAUCACUAUUUGAGUUUUAGUAUAAGAUUAUUUAAGUUUUAAUAUAAGAUUAUUAGAUUUGUAAUUAGACUUACUAUAUAAUUUAUUGACUAGCUAGGGUCCUGUAAUAUACGUCACCUAGACUUAGCAUAUGAUUGUUAGCAUAUAAGAUUGUUAAAACAUAAAUGUCUCAUGACUUAGCAGCUAUUUCAUGUAUGAACAGAUGGCUGAUCGCGAUGAGGAACAGAUAUUGUACGAUACAAUCGCGGAGGGAAGUAGCCAGUACUGGAACGAAGAAGAGGGGAACGAGGAUCCAAACCAAUAUUUGAACGAGGAAGGGAACGUGCAGAGGGAUGCGGAGGGGAACCAGGAGGGGCACGUUGAAAGGGAUGUGGAGGGGAACCAGGAGGAGGGGGAUAGUGCAAGUCAACCCUCCGCUGGACAGAAGAGGGCACGCGGGCAACGAGGUGCCGCGAAGAAGCUUGAGGGUCGGCACAUCAUAACGGAAGUGGACGAAGACAGCCGACCUAGUGCCCCGGCAGAAGCCGCCAAGAACUAUGUAUGUCAUAGCGGUUGGGUUGUGCGGGAUAACGUGCCUGUCAGUACGGUGUACUGGCGCAGAACAAGGGCACGCGGAGAUCAUGAGAGCUUUGUCCCAGAUUCGGAGAAAGAGAUGCUGUGGACCACAAUGCUCGAGACAUUCACCCUUCCCGCGGGUACAGAGGACAAAGUGAAAAGGUGGACUCUGAAGAAAAUGGCAGAACAGUUUCAGAGCUUCAAGGGAGAGUUGUACAAGAAAUAUAUCCUGAAGGGGCAGACACCGAACUUCGACACAUUCCCAAAGCUAAGGGAUCACGGGGACGAGUUCGUUGCAUAUAAGACAGGUGAACAAGGGCAGGCGAUGAUGGAAAGAACAAAGAAAAUGCCGCCAAGAAGAAGUACCAUCACCACUUGGGGUCAGGCGGCUAUAGCGUCGCGAUGCUGAAGUGGGAGGAGAUGGAGGCUAGGUUGCUUGAGAGGGGUAUCGAACCGGCCACCGCUAAUUGGCCGGAACGAUCGAAGUUCUGGUACUAUGCUCACGGUGGAACGCUCAACCCAGCUGAUGGCUCACUGGUCUUCGGCGAUCAGAUACGAGAGGCUGCGCGUCGACUAACAGACGCAGUGGAAGCCUCUUCUCAGGGCACGUUCCGACCGGAUAGAGAGAGGGACGAGCUGUCACUCGCCCUGCAGACUCCAGAGCAUCCAGGACGAACACGAGGGAAAGGGGUGAUUCCUUGGAAGAUUGGGUUCAAGGAGGACAUCCACACGUAUGGGAGUCGGAUGAGGAGCAAGAGAGAUACCGAGGCGAAGAUUGCAGAUCUUGAGUUCAGGGUAUCGAGCUACGAGCUCAGCAUGCAAGAGGAGGUGGCAAGGAAGGUUGAUGAACGCAUAGCCGCACAUCGGUCCAAUGAUCCCCAGCCGACCAUUCCUCCUGCAAUGGUGAGCCCGUCAGAAAACUGUAGCAGCUGCGCCUCAACAGGGCAGGUAGGAUCACAGAGCAUGGACGCCAUGCAAACCCAAGACGAAUCCACCUGCCCCGUUGAUGACAUCACUCAGCGGACACCAUGUGAGCUGCAUAUUCCUUUCAAGAACUUAUUAAUAAAGGUAAGCUCGUAGUUUAUAUAUUUUAGAUUUGCCCAUUCCGCUAGUUGCUGCUUAUAUAUGUUGAUUACUAAUAAAUCACCUCUCACCACAUGAAGGUGGCGUCGGGCAUGGCCAUCCCAAUGGACCCUUCAGGUACUUACCACUGCAGGCCGAUUCCAGCAGGAUACUCCAAGGUCGAAGUUGAGUUGGUCGAAGGUGCGUACGAGGACCUCGAGCUGGAUUACCCUGGAGGAGACGGUGAGACGCAUCUACGAGACACAAGCCAUGCAAUUAUUCUAUGGCGCAGGCGGUACAUCAUCCUCCCUAGGCGACAAGCGGCGUCUCGUGCACCAUCUCCUCCGGCUCCACCAUCUCCUCCUCAGGAUCCUGCACCGUUUCCUCCUCAUGCUCCAGCACCGUCUCCACCUCAGGCUCCUGCAUCGACUCCUCCUCAGGCUCCUGCAUCGACUCCUCCUCGGUCUCCUACACCGACUCCUCCGCAAGCUCCUCUUCCGGCACCUUCAAAGUCAAGGGCCCCCCAAGCUCCACCGCAUGCCCACAGAAGGGCAACGAAGAAGGCGAAAAUUGACGCCGCCAAGAACAAGGACCCGGGGUACGAUUGCACGCAAGAGGAGCUUGACGCUUACGUGGCAUCAGAAGUCAAGAGACAAUUCAAGCCUCGAAGUCCAGAAAAGAAGAUUCCUAUAGACCCGAGUGUCAUGAACUUCUUCAGGGGUAUGUCUGCACCUGCCAAGGAGGCCAUUAAGCUAUCGGACUAUGAGCGAACGCUAAAGAAAGCAUCUUCUGGAAAGUCCAAACUAGUCCCUCAGCUUGGAGAGCAACCAAACCAGGAGAUCGAGCCGUUGGUGACCGGUAAAGAAAUGACGAUAGAAGAAUUUAUUACUGACACCGGUCUAACUACGGAUCAAUUGCUAGGAGUCGCACCAAUCGAAAAGGCGGAAGUGAAAUACAUGUACGAACUCGGUAAACCGCUUGUCAAGCCUGAGCUGCUGCAGUCCCUACCCACACAAAUGUACAAGUUCCAUCAGCUGUACAUGGAGAUGAGCGCCACCGGUAGAGAGAUGAUCGGAGCGAGGAUCAGAGACACGGACUUCUUGCAAGGAGAUGACAUUCUCUGGAUCAAUUUCAAUGGAAUCUACGAACUAUACCAGCUGGACGCCCUCGACGUCUCUAUUAUGAGUUGCUGGAUUUUGUAAGUAUAUCGUUCAGUUAGAUUUCUUACUACGUCUCCUUUAAUUAAUUAGGUCCUUGUAUAUAAGUAGACUAUAGAAAAUAAUAUACUCCCUUUUAUCGUUGUAGAAUGGAGAUUCAAAGGGCCCGACGGCGGGGGGUUUUCGAUACUGGAUUCAUCGACCCUCGGAAAGUAAACGUCGCAAUGCUCGACCAAUAUCCGCAAGCCACACAGGACAAUCUCGUCCAUCUCCUGAAGGCGCAGCAUUACAAGACGUUCAUACUGUUGCCGUACAACACAUAGUUAGUUUAAUUUUACUGUCUUCCUAUAUCAAAUUUCAUUCCCGUACGAACUUGCUAAGUGUUUUAUAUGUAAUGCAUCCCAUGCACAUUGCAGAUUCCACUGGGUGCUUUUACUCUUCGACCUGUCGGCCUGCACCGUCAACGUAUAUGACUCAAUGGAUAAAAAAGAGUCUACGUUUGGCAAGGUUUUCGAACUUAUAGAUAGGUACCGUCAUAAGUUCCUCUGUUAAUUAAGAAAAUCUUGUUAUGUUAAUUGCUACUACGAAUCAUAGCUUUAAACUCCAUGUAGGGCUUGGUAUCGGUUCCGUCAUUUGGUCCGCGGCAAAUGGAGAGAAAGACUUAGGCGGAAGUUCAAAUUUCUUGUGAGUACACAUGCUCUACAUUUAUAUUUCUCUGAUUCAAAUACAUACAAGUGUAUAUUAAUUAGAUUUCUCGUUGUUUGUCAUUUAUUUGUAGUGCGCAAAGCAAAAGAAGGGAACUAACUUGUGCGGCUAUUACGUGUGCGAGUAUUGCCACUGCCUUGCAGACCAAAUCAUCACCACAAGAGAGCUCAAUGUACGUACAAAUAAAUUCAAAAUUUCAUUCGUAUCGAUUUCUUGUUUAAUUACUAAUCAAUUUCAUACAUUCAUAUAGUUUAUUCGCAUGAGGGAUAACCUGACCACGCACAAGGAAUUUAUCGCGGCGGUUUAAGAACAACUCAUGGGAUUCAUCAACGAACAAAUCCUUGAUCCCAAGGGUGAAUUCUACUACGACGGAAACACAAUUCAUAGGUCCUUAGCUUCUGAGCUAGUGACUACUAUUACGUCGAAAUCGUAGCUAGCUAGGACAUAUAAUAUAUUGUAAUUAAUACAUGACUACAUAUGUUUCUAUAUGCAUGUGUACACAUUUUCUAUAAUGUAAAUAUAUUUUGGUCAUAUAUAUAUAUAUAUAUAUAUAUAUAUAUAUAUAUAUAUAUAUAUAUAUAUAUAUAUGCAUAUGCAUUUGCAUAACAUAUAUAUAUGUAUAAAUACAUAUAUAUUAUGCACAUGUACAUAUGUAUUGAAACAUAUAUAAAUAUAAUAUAAUAUAUAUAUAUAUAUAUAUGCAUAUAUUAUAUAUGCAUAUAUGUACUGAAACAUGGUUUAUAUAUAUAUAAACCAUGCAGCAACAGGGCCAUGCAAAAAAAAAAGGUCAGCUCGAUCUUUAGUCCCGGUUGGUAACACCAACCGGGACGGAUGAGCCAUCUUUAGUCCCGGUUGGGAUUACCAACCGGGACUAAAGAUCGAUCUUUAGUCCCGGUUAUUUCACCCGGGACUAAAGAUAGCGAUCUUUAGUCUCGGAUUGGUCCAAACCGGGACUAAAGGGGGGUUACGAACCGGGACUACAAAGGAUUUCUCCACCAGUGCGUACUUUGUGCCACGGAUACCUGUGAGCAUGAUGAGACGCAUUGAAUUGAAUCCAUAGUAGGUGAAAGGGGCACCAGAUUUGCUGCUACUGUUUCAGCCAAUAAGAUAAUAAGACUGCAUGGGUUUAGAUAUACUAUAUCGAUCAGAGCUUGCUAAAUCAGCUAAUGAAUAAUAACAAUAAUAAUUAAUAAUAAUAAUUUGCAUGCAUGGAUUAUUCGAUCCAUGAGGUAUAUUAGCUAGCUAGUAGGAGUACUAGUUUGCUGGGAUAUGGAAAAUUAAAGGACACAUGUUUGUUGGAGGAAGAGUGGAGGAGAUACGCUAGCUAGCUUGCUUCAAUCCCCAUGAAAUGAAAUAUGAAUUUGUAUAUCAAUAGCAAGCUAGCUAUAUACGUGUGCAUCAAUCCGGUGACUAGAAGAUAGCUAGGUGUGUGUGCCCAUCAAAUGGGACAAUAUACACACGAGCUAUAUAUCAGCGCUCGAUGUUCUCAAAAAAAAAAAAGAAGAAAGAGCUAUAUAUCAGCAAGAGCAGUGUAUUACUACCAAUCACUACCUCUGACCUCAGCAUUGUGUAUUUGUGUGAGUAAUUAGACUAUUGUUGCAAUCCUUUAAUAUCAUUAGUUAAUGAAAGUUUAGCUCUAAUUUAUUGAUUCAGCUAAUUAUAUCAAGAUGAUACAUGCAUCUUAAUACAAAGAAUAACUAUGUGUGAGUCUUUUGUACAUUCUCAAAAGAUAUAUAGGAUGAUACAACUGUACUGAACAAUUUUCAGCUUAGCUAAAAUUAUACUGCAAGGCAAGCUUACACCCACAAGAAAAGAAAAUGAAAAGAGUACAGAUAACAGCAGUGCCGGGCCAGUGUAACCGAUGAAAUACACAUUACAUCAUACUGUUUAAUUUGUUGACUUGUUGUACAUGCGCGUGUUCCAUGAGCUAUAUAUAUACACUUAACAGAGUUUGUUCGUAAGCAUGGCGAGGUAAUAAUUAAUUAAUUAAUUAGUGAGCAGCUAGCUAGCUAGCUAUAGCAAUGAGAGACGCGUGGAGGAGUGCCAGCAUACCAGCUGCCAUUAAGCAUGUGUGUGGUGGCACUACCUGAGGCUAUAGGCUACAUGCAUCAGUCCUCCUGUGCCCAUGCAUCCAUUCCAUCACAGUAGAUGACAUGAUGACAAAGGAAAAAAAAUUCCAUCUUGAUUAAACAUGUGGAUCAUCAUAUUGUCAUCAUGGAAAGAAUCCAUUUGGCCUCCCUCAACAAUGCAGGUCUGAAGAUAAAUUCAGUAGAGAGAAGUGGAUUAGACUAAGGGUAUAUAUGGUUGAGACAGGUGGUCUAUUGAUUACAAUGACAUGAGUAUUUAAAUCUCCGUAUGAGCAAAUUUCAGAUUAAUCAAGAAUUCAAAUCUCCAUGUGAGCGAAUUUCAGAUUUGGUUGUUUAAGGGGCUUAAGUUCCCAAUUUUAAAAGAUUGUAUAUAUCCGGCCUAGUAAAAAAAUACUAUUCUAAAAAAAAGUAACGAGGGGCAGGUGAAUGGACUUUUUGCUGAUGACAAUAUGAUGAUCCGCAUGCUAAUGCACUGUACUACUGUACUUUAAUGGGCUAUAUGUGCUGUGCAGUGAAAGGCCAUGAUGGCCAGUACAACUGGGGCCUGUGUGUUUGACGAACUGGGCCUGAAGCCAUCUUUACGGGCUUCCGGUGAAAAAACGCGGCCUAUCACGAAGCCCAAAGAAAACGGUCAAGAGCGGCCCAUUUGAAAGCCCGAAUAAACGUCAACUUUGGCCCAAUUAAACCAUCAACUGAGGCCAUUCUAAAGCCCAAAGAGAACGUCAUGUCGGCCCAAAGAAACCAUAAAUUGCGGCCCAUUUGAAAGCCCAAAGGAAACUUCAAUGUCGGCCCAAAGAAACCAUCAAUAGCGGCCCACCAAUUUGCCUUGAAUAACAGAAGGCGUGCCCAAAAAUGGAACAGAUGGACAAGCUUCAAUUUGGGAUUUCGAAUGGCUUCCAAAGGCGAUACGUCGCGUAUUUUGGAGCGGUGAAAACCCUUAUUUUUUAAAAAAAAAACUUCUAUCUAGGGGUGAAAAUAUAUUCUUUGAAACAAAGAGCAAGAUACAAAAUGUUGCCAUCAAACUUUAAUUCCUCCUUACUCUUACUACUAUUACUUUUUAAGUCUUUGACCGGCGAUACGUAUCGAUUAGGAUUCGACAAAUGCUACGAGCGCCAUUCUGAACGAGAUUCCUCCUGGCGACGUCGAAACGAUAAGGAUCAUCAAAUCGCCAAAACAUAAAAUUUCGAAAUUUCUCCCUAGUAGUCACCACGAGAAGAUGAAAACUCAUAAAACCAGUGAAAUUUACAGGUUUUUGAAAGGGAGAAAAAGAAAAGGGCAGCAACACCUUGAGUCCUUGACUGACUGGGGAAAAUAAAUAAAUAAAGAAAGAAAGAAUUGUAGAAAGAAGAGGACAUAAAGGAAACAGAUUACGAACAAAAUAAAUAAUAAUUCUAAAUUUUUUUAGUAAGAUGAAUAAUCAAAUAUUACCAAAAAAAAUCGAAACGGGACGGAGGUAGUAUGAAUUUGAAUUCUGAUUUUAGGAAGUUACUUUACGUCCGGGUCCAACGAAAAGGAGAAUAUAUUCAGAGCUGUUUGGAAUUCAUAUCUGCGUCAAAUUUUUUUUGAAAAUUCUCGCUGAUCGCUCUGUAUCGAGCCGGACGGUGAUGGUCGACGACGGAGACCGGACGCGAGGGGAGCACUGUAAAAUCUUCGACAAGACGCCAAAGGUGAUAAGGCCGCUGAUACAUACAGCCACAAUAAUAUUCGCUCUUUGCCAUGCCGUGCUAGCUAGUAGCUAGUAGCUUGUCGACUGAUGAGAGAUGGAAGAUGAUAUUGAUCGAUAUAUGGAUGCAAAAAUUAUUGUGGCAGUUUGCGACGGGGGUGUUUCGACCAAACACAGGCUCUGGUAGUUCCUUGUAAGCUGAAGCAACUCGCAGAUGCUCUCUCCAUUUCGUGUUAGGUCACUUUAAGUUUCUUUUUUUAAUCAUUUUUUUUGAAAGUUUAAUCAAGUUUAUAAAAAAAAAUAUAACAACACUUAUAGCCUUAAAUUAGUUUCAUUACGUCUUACAUUGAACAUAUUUUGAUAUUUUCUGUUAAAAAUAUCGUCUAUAAAUUAAUUUAGUCAAACCUCAAAACGACUUUAUAAUAUGAAAUAGACAUAGUAAAUAGGAAAACGUGAGUUGCUGAAAAAAUAUGUAAUGGAAAAUGAUAAAAAGUUGAUGUUAGAGAAAAUGUUUUACUUAUGUUGACAUGAAUAAAUCCUAAGAUGUCUAUUUUUUUUCCACAAUAGUUGGUUUUCGCUGCAUAUGUGAUUUAACUGUGUAUUCUUCCUGAGUUGCUAGCUGCUACUUUUUUUUUAAACUCUAAAAACAUCUUGGCUACGACUAGCUAAGUAGCUAGUAUAAAAAAAAACCCAGUAAACUAUAGUAUCCUCUUAUAUUUAACUGUGAGGCUUUUCUCCGUUUCUCGUGAAAACGAGCUACUCCCUCUAUCUCCCAUAAAGAAUGCAUUUUUCAGUUCUUAUAUAACGUUUGACUCUCCAACUUAUUUAAAAAAUAAUUAUAAUUAAUAUUUUUACUGUUAUUAGAUGAUAAAAUAUGAAUAAUAAUUAUAUGCGACUAUUUUUAAAUUUAUUUUAUAAAUUUUUUAAGUAAUGGCUUGUUUGGUAGAGUUUCAACUCCUAAAUUUAGCUUCAGGAAGUUAGAUCUGGAGUGGAGUUGUGAAGCUGUUUAAACUCAGGUCCACCUCUCUAGCUUAUUUUAUGAGAGAGUUCUACACAACUCUGCUCGUAUUUUUAGCCGAGCUUUAGCUUAAGAAGAGGUGGAGCCGAUAUUCUCCGUGAAGUUUACCCCCAACAAAUAUUCGGAAAGUUGACGCAUUCCAGACGGGACCUAAAGCUUGGCAUUAUCCGGUGUGGGGGAGCUAGAGAUUCGUUUCGUGAGGCGGAUGGCGCCUUUGGAGCGCGUGCCUCUCGAUCGAGGCGUGUGUCCUCCUCCAUCCAGCUGCUACGUCUCCAGAAGAUGAUAUGAUUCUUCUUCUUCCUUUGGUUAAUUGUCGUCUUCUUCUCUCUCUCUGCAUCCAGCCGAUAUAUAUACCACCAGCCGAAGCAGCCAUUGCUCCUCACCACCAGAGCACAAGAAAGCAUAAGCAACACAAGGGAUUAACUCAUCACUCACUUAGCUAAUUAAAUCUUCGACCAUGUCGGACAAGUGCGGCAACUGCGACUGUGCUGACAAGAGCCAGUGCGUGUAAGUACUUAAUUACUAGCUGCCUCCUCGAUCUAGAUCAGUCAAUAAUUAUUUUGUUUCGAUCUUAACAUGUUGAUUUCUUUGAAUUUUGCGAAACACUGAUCGGUUUGAUUCGAUUGACGUGGUGAUUAAUUUGCAGGAAGAAAGGUACCAGCUAUGGCGUCGUCAUAGUUGAAGCCGAGAAGAGGUAACUAACUAACUCAAUAUCGAUCAACCAAAGCAUAUUUCUCGUCUGAAUUUUACAGUUUUAAUUUCUUCGUCUUUGCUCUCAAACACACACACGAUACUAUCGAUCCUGACGUUCGCAUACGAGACACGUACGGCCUAAUGUAUUCGUUCAUGCUUAUAUUUAUCAGACAAAAUUUAAAUUUUCAAUCUUAAAUUUAAAACUGAUUUUAAGUUUUUUAUUAAAAUUUAUUUUUCACCCUCUACUUUUAGUUGCUAAAAAUAUAUAUAUGAAUUUUAUUUAUAAAUUAUUUUCGUUUGCAAUUAUAUCGUUUGACUUAUUCCACGAAUAAGCUAAAUGAUGGGGUCUGUAGCAUAUACUACAACCACCAUAAAAAAACUUCAUCAAAAAUAUUUUAAAAUUAACAGAAAAAUAGUAAGAACUUUACAUACGAGAUUAGAUAGUUCUCAACAAUUUUUACCUGACGCCUUAAUUAUUUGCUUGCUUUGUGCGUGCGUGCAGCCACUUCGAGGAGGUCGCCGCCGGCGAGGAGAACGGCGGCUGCAAGUGCGGCACCAGCUGCUCCUGCACCGACUGCAAGUGCGGCAAGUGAAGUCACGAAGCAACCGAACACUCGCCGCCGGCGAGUCACCUACCUUAAUUAGUCCACAAUAAAAACCACCCAUAUGAGUGUGGUUUGUGUGUGUGCUGAUUAUUGCUGAAUU